GAUGAACGCUGGCGGCGUGCUUAACACAUGCAAGUCGAGCGAGAAGUUUUGAAAAGAUUCUUCGGAUGAAAUUUAAAAUGGAAAGCGGCGGACGGGUGAGUAACGCGUAGGCAACCUGCCCCAUACAAAGGGAUAGCAUUUGGAAACGAAUAUUAAUACCUUAUGAAACUUAACUAGUGCAUGCUAGGUAGGUCAAAGAUUUAUCGGUAUGGGAUGGGCCUGCGUCUGAUUAGCUAGUUGGUGAGGUAACGGCUCACCAAGGCGACGAUCAGUAGCCGACCUGAGAGGGUGAACGGCCACAUUGGAACUGAGACACGGUCCAAACUCCUACGGGAGGCAGCAGUGGGGAAUAUUGCACAAUGGGGGGAACCCUGAUGCAGCAACGCCGCGUGAACGAUGAAGGCCUUUGGGUCGUAAAGUUCUGUUCUAGGUGAUGAAAACUGACAGUAACCUAGGAGAAAGCCCCGGCUAACUCCGUG
rnacentral:rRNA from 1 species